rnacentral:rRNA from 1 species
AACGAACGCUGGCGGCAUGCCUAACACGUGCAAGUCGAACGAGACCUUCGGGUCUAGUGGCGCACGGGUGCGUAACGCGUGGGAACCUGCCCUUAGGUUCGGAAUAACUCCCCGAAAGGGGUGCUGAUACCGGAUAAUGUCUUCGGACCAAAGAUUUAUCGCCUUUGGAUGGGCCCGCGUUGGAUUAGCUAGUUGGUAGGGUAAAAGCCUACCAAGGCGACGAUCCAUAGCUGGUCUGAGAGGAUGAUCAGCCACACUGGGACUGAGACACGGCCCAGACUCCUACGGGAGGCAGCAGUGGGGAAUAUUGGACAAUGGGCGAAAGCCUGAUCCAGCAAUGCCGCGUGAGUGAUGAAGGCCUUAGGGUUGUAAAGCUCUUUUACCCGGGAUGAUAAUGACAGUACCGGGAGAAUAAGCUCCGGCUAACUCCGUG